GCCCGUUUGGCACAGCGGUAAUGCGCCUCACUAGUACUUCGUACCAUUAAGUAUCCAUGUGUUUGCACAUGUGCCUAAUGGUAUCCUACUGAGGAAGCUAUGAGGAGAUGACUGGUUCGACUCCAGUAAUGGGCA
rnacentral:tRNA from 1 species